rnacentral:rRNA from 1 species
AUUGAACGCUGGCGGCAGGCCUAACACAUGCAAGUCGAACGAGUGGCGGACGGGUGAAUAAUGUCUGGGAGACUGCCUGAUGGAGGGGGAUGACUAGUGUAAACGGUAGCUACUACCGCAUAACAUCAGAUCGGCCCAGAGGGUAUUAGCUAGUUGGUGGGGUAACGGCUCACCAUGGCGACGAUCCCUAGCUGGUCUGAGAGGAUGAUCGGCCACACUGGAACUGAGACACGGCCCAGACUCCUACGGGAUGCAGCAGUAGGGAAGAUUGCACAAUGGGCGCAAGCCUGAGACAGCCACGCCGCGUGGAUGAAGAAGGCCUUCGGGUUGUAAAGCACUGUUAGCGGGGAGGCGUUAUCUGCCGAGGAAGCACCGGCUAACUCCGUGCCAGCAGCCGCGGUAAUAC